UAUUCAGCCUGAGAUGUGAUGCCGAGCCGAUUGUGGUGAAGUGGAUGAUCCUAUGCUGCCGAGAAAAGCCUCUAGUGAGUGUUGUGGCGGCCCGUACCCUAAACCGACUCAGGUGGUCAGGUAGAGAAUACCAAGGCGAUCGGGUGAACUGUGGUUAAGGAACUCGGCAAAUUGCCCCCGUAACUUCGGGAGAAGGGGGACCUCUGCUGGUGAUGGGCUUUACGUUCUGAGCUGGUGGGGGUCGCAGUGGCCAGGGGGAAGCGACUGUUUACUAAAAACACAGGUCCGUGCGAAGUCGUAAGACGAUGUAUACGGACUGACGCCUGCCCGGUGCCGGAACGUUAAGGGGACCGCUUAGCCAACGCGAGUUGGCGAAGGUGAGAACUUAAGCGCCGGUAAACGGCGGUGGUAACUAUAACCAUCCUAAGGUAGCGAAAUUCCUUGUCGGGUAAGUUCCGACCUGCACGAAUGGCGUAACGACUUCCCCGCUGUCUCAACCACAGACCCGGCGAAAUUGCACUACGAGUAAAGAUGCUCGUUUCGCGCAGCAGGACGGAAAGACCCCGGGACCUUCACUACAGCUUGACAUUGGCGUUUGGAACGUCUUGUGUAGGAUAGGUGGGAGUCUGGGAAGCUGUCACGCUAGUGAUGGUGGAGUCAUUGGUGAAAUACCACUCUGGUCGUUUUGAACGUCUAACUCUGGUCCGUGAUCCGGAUCGGGGACAGUGUCUGGUGGGUAGUUUAACUGGGGCGGUUGCCUCCUAAAGAGUAACGGAGGCGCCCAAAGGUUCCCUCAGCCUGGUUGGCAAUCAGGUGUUGAGUGUAAGUGCACAAGGGAGCUUGACUGUGAGACUGACAGGUCGAGCAGGAGCGAAAGCUGGGACUAGUGAUCCGGCAUCGGCGUGUGGAAGCGGUGUCGCUCAACGGCUAAAAGGUACCCCGGGGAUAACAGGCUGAUCUUCCCCAAGAGUCCAUAUCGACGGGAUGGUUUGGCACCUCGAUGUCGGCUCGUCGCAUCCUGGGGCUGGAGUAGUCCCAAGGGUUGGGCUGUUCGCCCAUUAAAGCGGUACGCGAGCUGGGUUUAGAACGUCGCGAGACAGUUCGGUCCCUAUCCGCUGCGCGCGCAGGAGACUUGAAGGGGGCUGUCCCUAGUACGAGAGGACCGGGACGGACGAACCUCUGGUGUGCCAGUUGUACCGCCAGGUGCACGGCUGGUUGGCUACGUUCGGAAGGGAUAACCGCUGAAAGCAUCUAAGCGGGAAGCUCGCCUUGAGAUGAGGUCUCCCACCCCGUGAGGGGGUAAGGCUCCCGGUAGAUCACCGGGUUGAUAGGCCGGAGGUGGAAGCACGGUAACGUGUGGAGCUGACCGGUACUAAUAGGCCGAGGACUUGACC
rnacentral:rRNA from 1 species